rnacentral:rRNA from 1 species
UACAGGGGGGGCAAGCGCUGUUCGGAAUUACUGGGCGUAAAGGGCUCGUAGGUGGCCAACUAAGUCAGACGUGAAAUCCCUCAGCUUAACUGGGGAACUGCGUCUGAUACUGGAUGGCUUGAGUUUGGGAGAGGGAUGCGGAAUUCCAGGUGUAGCGGUGAAAUGCGUAGAUAUCUGGAGGAACACCGGUGGCGAAGGCGGCAUCCUGGACCAACACUGACACUGAGGAGCGAAAGCCAGGGGAGCAAACGGG